rnacentral:rRNA from 1 species
CCUACGGGGGGCAGCAGUGGGGGAUAUUGCACAAUGGGGGGAACCCUGAUGCAGCGACGCCGCGUGAGGGAAGACGGCCUUCGGGUUGUAAACCUCUGUCGCAGGGGACGAAGGAGAUGACGGUACCCUGUGAGGAAGCCACGGCUAACUACGUGCCAGCAGCCGCGGUAAUACGUAGGUGGCGAGCGUUGUCCGGAAUUACUGGGUGUAAAGGGAGCGUAGGCGGGAUAUUAAGUUGAAUGUAUAAACUACCGGCUUAACCGAUAGAAGCGUUCAAAACUGAUAUUCUUGAGUGAAGUAGAGGG